rnacentral:rRNA from 1 species
AAACUCAAAGGAAUUGACGGGGCCGCACAAGCGGUGGAGCAUGUGGUUUAAUUCGAAGCAACGCGAAGAACCUUACCAGGUCUUGACAUCCCCUGACAACCCGAGAGAUCGGGCGUUCCCCUUCGGGGGACAGGGUGACAGGUGGUGCAUGGUUGUCGUCAGCUCGUGUCGUGAGAUGUUGGGUUAAGUCCCGCAACGAGCGCAACCCUCGACCUUAGUUGCCAGCAUUCAGUUGGGCACUCUAAGGGGACUGCCCCGGACAACGGGGAGGAAGGUGGGGAUGACGUCAAGUCCGCAUGCUCCUUACGUCUAGGGCUACACACGUCCUACAAUGGGGUCGACAGUGGGAUGCAAAGCCGCGAGGUGGAGCCAAUCCCCAAACGGCCUCUCAGUUCGGAUAGUAGUCUGCAACUCGACUACUUGAAGUCGGAAUCGCUAGUAAUGGCGGAUCAGCAUGCCGCCGUGAAUACGUUCCCGGGUCUU